rnacentral:lncRNA from 12 species
AGACCUGCCUGCGCUCGCGGACGCACACAUGCGCACCGGGGGGAGCUCCGAAGUUCAGAGUUUGUGCAAGUUUGGCGGCGCCUCGCCCGCCGUCCGGUCCCCGGGAACCCUCCCCGCGGCGGCGCGCGCUUGGACGGGCCCCGCGGGCGUCGCGGACACGCGAGAUGCUCCCCCUCCCCCUCCCCCUCCCCCUCCCCCGCCGCGCGACUCGCUCCCUACGGCCCUAGCAACGCGCGGUGCGAGCGGGAGGGCUCGCUUACCUGGGGGAGGGUCUGGCAUCCCCCCCCCCCACUGUGCUUUGAAACACCAUUUCCCUGCUUCUUGCCUUUUUGUGUGUGCGAUGCGCGGCUGGCGACUGCUGCACGCUCGUGCUCCCCGCUCCUUCCCCAGCAAAAGCCAAUGUCCCUCCGGAGUUGAAAGGGUUUUAGCUUAAAGGUCUGUUAUGUAACUUCUUUAAGAAGGUGAAAGUGGAAGGCAUACUCACGUUUCCUUGUAAGGCUAAUGAGUUAAAGAAUAAGUGCUUGUGAACGACCAAGUGUUCUUCCAACACCCUACCCCAGCGCCAGCGAAUUUUCUUUAUUCUCUACCAAUAAAUCAUGUGGUUGAAAUAUAUUUACUGCCGCU